CAAAAUGAUUUAAAUGCCGAAUAUCCAAUGGCAAUGGCUGCUUAAAUAACAGUCACGUUUCAUUAGUCUUACCUGCGAGGUUAAUGAAACGACAAUUUGCAGGUUAGUUUGAUCCCAGUGUCUGGUGGGGAUUGAAUGAACUUCUUAAACUGGGCUGGUCAUCGGAAACCCUGUCAGUUGGGGUUCUAAAUGACGAGACUCAAAAAAUUGACUAUAUACGUAGAAGCCUAUGCUGAGAUGUCUAGGGACGCGGGUUCAAUUCCCGCCGCCUCCACCA
rnacentral:tmRNA from 1 species